AACAGGAAUAUACAUAUAUAAUGCUGGCAAUUGCAAACAACUUCCCGUUCAAUACCUGAUUACCUGCACAGUUGACAUUUUCACCACCUCCUUUCUUCCUAAAAAAAAUCCUAUCCAAACAAACACCAUUUUCACACUUACUCUCCCCCCGCCAUUUGAACACCAUCCUCCUCUCAUCUCCCUAUUUCAGAUCUGUUAUUUUCAGUGUUGGAACAGAUGACCCCAGUGUGCCCAUUCGUCAAAGCUACUCGUCCUGACGAUGCCUCAUCGAAAAGAAGUGGUGAAAAUAUAUGUAAGCAUGCUGCAGAACAUGAGAGUAAAGCUAAAAGCGAGUCUGUUGAUUCUGGCAUAAUUGAACCUAAGUGUCCUCUUGGAUAUGAUUCUCGUUCAUUCAAAAUUGGCCCUCUCAGCUGUGUGCUAUGCAAAGCCCUUUUGUUUGAGAGCAGUAAAUGUGUGCCCUGCUCCCACAUAUUCUGCAAGGCAUGCAUAUCUCGCUUUAAGGACUGUCCAUUAUGUGGAGCUGAUAUUGAGAAGAUUGAACAUGAUGAAGAAACUCAAAAGGUUGUUGAUAAGUUCAUUGCUGGUCAUGCCAGAAUCAAGAGGUCUCCUGCCAGUACAGAUACCGAGGAGGAAGUUAGCAAAAAUAAAUCUGUGAUUUAUGAAGAUGUCUCAUUAGAGAGAGGUGCUUUUUUGGUUCAACAUGCCAUGAGGAUUUCGUGCUCAGAACGUGGAAAGUGCUAAAUCCAGGCUGUCACUUUGUGCUGCCGAUAUCAGGGAACAAUUAAAGGAAUCUGGUGACAAGCCAGAAUUAUGCUCCCAACUUGGGGCUGUGCUGGGAAUGCUGGGAGAUUGCUGGAUCCAUCGACUUCUAAGCCCUCUGGUAAAGGGAGGGCUGAAGUGAAGGGGAAGAAAAACUCUAAAAAGAAGCAAAAGCAACCCAAGAACCCUGUGAAUGUGGAUGAUGAAUACAAUGGCUCUAGUAAUAACUAUUCUGAUGGAGAUAGUGAAGAAGAGUCGUGCACUUCCUCUGAGUUCAUGAAGAUGAUGAUGGGGUUCAUGAAGAGUAAGAGUCGGAAGAGGAAGAGGCCAAAGUCGGAAGGGCAGAAGGUGUUGAGCGAAGGGGCAGUGUUGAAAACCCAUCAUGAGAACGUCGGAAAGGCAUGAUGUUGCAGCACGUAAUUUUAUUUGGUGCAUGUAACUGAGUAGAGUUUGCGGGGUGGGUACUUAUGUAUACUUCCUCCUUUUGUGUGUAGCAGUACCCCAACAUUGUAUGUAGGGUUGAAUCUUUCUGCAAAGUAGUCAAAGUUUUUGAUCCAAAAAGAUGCGCGUUAGUGACAGAAAUGGGGUUUGAAGAUCUUGACAUGAAAAAUAUACGGAGGCAAUUUUGCUAUUGGUUGAUGACAAGAGUGCUUCCUGAGUUCCUGAUGGAACAAUGGUGUUUGGCGACAGUGAGAUCUUACCCUUAGGUCCUGCUCAAGUGAGGUCCGUACUUGGGUCACCAAUGGGUGCCGAAAAAGCCCGUUUAGAUAUUGGUGAGAAUGAUGAGGAAUAGGUGCAGAAGAUGAGAAGGAUUUUUAAUCUGUAUGGUGUAGGUGCAAACAACGAAACCAUUUCGUUGAAAGUUGCUUUAGAUGCUUUAUGUCCAUUGGAUGAAUCGGGUGAACCAAUUCCCCUUGCAGAUGAAGUUAAAGAAGAGGAUUUCAUGACGACCUUUCUACUAAUAAUUCAAACUUCCCAAAGACACUCAUUCCAGCAUUGACAGUGGGGGCUAUCAAGUAUGACUGGUGUUCGUUGAAUUUUGAAUGGCUAUGCGACACGGCCAACAAAUUUCAAAGGAAGUACCAAAAAGAUGGUUAUAGGUCAGGUUGUGGGGGCAGUUUGCUGUUCGUUAUGAUUUAUUAUCUUGAUCACUUGCAUCGAGUUCCCUUGAAGUGGGGCGUUUACCCGAGGGUGAAGGUGUGGAACAGUGCUGAGGUGAAGGCAGCUGUUCUUGAAGAUACAGUGUCGACCAACAAGUAUGUCAAGCUUUUAGUAAGACAUAAACAGUAAUUGUAUUUGAUUUGUGGGUCGAUAAUUGUGUAUAUAAUAUUUUUUGCGGGUUGAUAGGCCGUUGAUGUUGCGUAUGGGGAGGAGCAUCCCCUAGUACCAAGGGAGAGUGUUGCUGGUGUUAAUAAGAAGGCACCACUAUCAGGGGAUAGGGAUCAGGCUUCGGUGGAUGAUGUCGUUGUAAUACCCUGGAAAUUUCCUUCUUUUAAAAUACUCUUUGUACUCUA